rnacentral:snoRNA from 1 species
CCUGCCCUAGAGGUGUUUUUGGAGUUAGCUGCUGUGUCACAUGUACAGCUGUAGGUGGCAGAGAGGAGGUAGGCUACGUGUAUGCUCAGUGCUCUCACCCUAUGAUUAGUGGUUUAACAUU